rnacentral:rRNA from 1 species
UACGAAGGGGGCUAGCGUUGCUCGGAAUCACUGGGCGUAAAGGGUGCGUAGGCGGGUCUUUUAAGUCAGGGGUGAAAUCCUGGAGCUCAACUCCAGAACUGCCUUUGAUACUGAAGAUCUUGAGUUCGGGAGAGGUGAGUGGAACUGCGAGUGUAGAGGUGAAAUUUGUAGAUAUUCGCAAGAACACCAGUGGCGAAGGCGGCUCACUGGCCCGAUACUGACGCUGAGGCACGAAAGCGUGGGGAGCAAACAGG